AGCUCCGGUGGCCUAGUGGCUUGAGCGUUCGCCUCGGAUGUGGGAGGUCGCGAGUUCAAACCCCGACCGAGUCA